rnacentral:misc_RNA from 1 species
CCUUUGUCCUCAAAGCCUCCGCCCAACUCCAUUCCCUCUCCCUCGCCCAAUCCCUUCACUCCCAAGCCCUCAAAUUCGGUCUUUUACCCGAUUUAUUCUCACUCAACACCCUCAUAGGUGUCUACUCCAUCCACCACCGCGUCAACGAUGCCCACAAACUGUUCUACGAAUGUCCCCACGGAGAUGUCGUCUCCUACAACGCCUUGAUUCAUGGGCUCGUCAAAACCCGCCAGAUUUCCCGCGCUCGGGAACUGUUCGACGAAAUGCCCGUGAGAGAUGAAAUAUCAUGGGGCACCAUGAUAG